GAUGAAGAACGCAGUGAAAUGCGAUAAGUAAUGUGAAUUGCAGAAUUCAGUGAAUCAUCGAAUCUUUGAACGCACCUUGCGCCCUUUGGCCAUUCCGAAGGGCAUGCCUGUUUGAGUAUCAUGAACACCUCAACUCUUUAUGGUUUUCCAUGAUGAGCUUGGACUUUGGGGGUUUUGCUGGCCUAUGGCCGGCUCCUCUCAAAUGAAUUAGCUUGCCAGUGUUUGGUGGCAUCACAGGUGUGAUAAAUAUCUACGCUUGUGGUUUUCCACCAGGUAACCUUCAGUGGAUGGAGGUUCGCUGGGGCUCAUAAACGUCUCUCCUCAGUGAGGACAGCUCUUUGAACGUUUGAUCUCAAAUCAGGUAGGACUACCCGCUGAACUUAAGCAUAUCAAUAAGCGGAGGA
rnacentral:misc_RNA from 1 species